rnacentral:tRNA from 1 species
GCCGGCCUAGCUCAGGCGGUAGAGCACCGGAUUUGUAACCCGGGAGUCGUCGGUUCGAGCCCGACGGCCGGCA